rnacentral:rRNA from 1 species
UACGUAGGGGGGCGAGCGUUGUCCGGAUUUAUUGGGCGUAAAGAGCGUGUAGGCGGCCAGGUAGGUCUGCUGUGAAAACUCGAGGCUCAACCUCGAGACGUCGGCGGAAACCAUCUGGCUAGAGUCCGGAAGAGGAGAGUGGAAUUCCUGGUGUAGCGGUGAAAUGCGCAGAUAUCAGGAAGAACACCAAUGGCGAAAGCAGCUCUCUGGGACGGUACUGACGCUGAGACGCGAAAGCGUGGGGAGCGAACAGG